UACGAAGGGGGCUAGCGUUGCUCGGAAUUACUGGGCGUAAAGCGUGCGCAGGCGGCUUUGCAAGACAGAUGUGAAAUCCCCGGGCUCAACCUGGGAAUGGCGAUGGAUACUGGCUCGCUAGAGUGCGGUAGAGGAGAGUGGAAUUCCCGGUGUAGCAGUGAAAUGCGUAGAGAUCGGGAGGAACAUCAGUUGCGAAGGCGGCUCUCUGGACCAGCACUGACACUGAGGAGCGAAAGCGUGGGGAGCGAACAGG
rnacentral:rRNA from 1 species